rnacentral:rRNA from 1 species
UACAGAGGUCCCAAGCGUUGUUCGGAUUCACUGGGCGUAAAGGGUGCGUAGGUGGCGAGGUAAGUUUGAUGUGAAAUCUCCGGGCUUAACCCGGAAAGGUCAACUGAUACUGUGCGACUAGAGUGCGGAAGGGGCAACUGGAAUUCUCGGUGUAGCGGUGAAAUGCGUAGAUAUCGAGAGGAACACCUGCGGCGAAGGCGGGUUGCUGGGCCGACACUGACGCUGAUGCGCGAAAGCCAGGGGAGCGAACGGG